AUCAUAAUACUUCUCAGAUCGCAUGCCUUGCGCCGGCGACGGUUUCAUUCAAAUUUCUGCCCUAUCAACUUUCGAUGGUAAGGUAUUGGCUUACCAUGGUUUCUACGGGUACGGGGGAAUUAGGGUUCGAUUCCGGAGAGUUAGCCUGAGAAACGGCUAACCCCAUCCAAGGAAGGCAGCAGGCGCGCAAAUUACCCAAUCCUGAUACAGGGAGGUAGUGACAAUAAAUACUGAUACAGGGCUCUUUUGGGUCUUGUAAUCGGAAUGAGUACAAUUUAAACCUCUUAACGAGGAACAAUUGGAGGGCAAGUCUGGUGCCAGCAGCCGCGGUAAUUCCAGCUCCAAUAGCGUAUAUUAAAGUUGUUGCAGUUAAAAAGCUCGUAGUUGAACCUUUGGCCUGGCUGGCAGGUCCGCCUCACCGCGUGCACUUGUCCGGCCGGGCCUUUUCUUCUGGAGAACCGCAUGCCCUUCACUGGGUGUGUUGGGGACCAGGACUUUUACUUUGAAAAAAUUAGAGUGUUCAAAGCAGGCCUUUGCUCGAAUAUUACAGCAUGGAAUAAUAAAAUAGGACGUGCGGUUCUAUUUUGUUGGUUUCUAGGACCGCCGUAAUGAUUAAUAGGGACAGUCGGGGGCAUCAGUAUUCAAUUGUCAGAGGUGAAAUUCUUGGAUUUAUUGAAGACUAACUACUGCGAAAGCAUUUGCCAAGGAUGUUUUCAUUAAUCAGUGAACGAAAGUUAGGGGAUCGAAGACGAUCAGAUACCGUCGUAGUCUUAACCAUAAACUAUGCCGACUAGGGAUCGGGCGGUGUUAUUAUUUUGACUCGCUCGGCACCUUACGAGAAAUCAAAGUGUUUGGGUUCUGGGGGGAGUAUGGUCGCAAGG
rnacentral:rRNA from 1 species